rnacentral:rRNA from 1 species
GAUGAACGCUAGCGGCAGGCUUAACACAUGCAAGUCGAGGGGUAUAGUAGCAAUACUAGAGACCGGCGCACGGGUGCGUAACGCGUAUGCAAUCUACCUUUUGCAGAGGGAUAGCCCAGAGAAAUUUGGAUUAAUACCUCAUAGUAUAGAACAAUCGCAUGAUUGAGCUAUUAAAGUCACAACGGCAAAAGAUGAGCAUGCGUCCCAUUAGUUAGUUGGUAAGGUAACGGCUUACCAAGACUACGAUGGGUAGGGGUCCUGAGAGGGAGAUCCCCCCACACUGGUACUGAGACACGGACCAGACUCCUACGGGAGGCAGCAGUGAGGAAUAUUGGACAAUGGGCGCAAGCCUGAUCCAGCCAUGCCGCGUGCAGGAUGACGGUCCUAUGGAUUGUAAACUGGACUUUUUAUACAAGGGAAGAAACACUUAACCUUCGUGAAGUAGCUUGACGGUACUGUAAGAAUAAGGAUC